rnacentral:rRNA from 1 species
CCCCAGUAACGGCGAGUGAAGCGGCAACAGCUCAAAUUUGAAAUCUGGCCCCCCCCCCGGGGGGCCCGAGUUGUAAUUUGCAGAGGAUGCUUUGGGCGAGGCGCCUUCCGAGUUCCCUGGAACGGGACGCCACAGAGGGUGAGAGCCCCGUCUGGUCGGACGCCGAGCCUCUGUAAAGCUCCUUCGACGAGUCGAGUAGUUUGGGAAUGCUGCUCAAAAUGGGAGGUAUAUGUCUUCUAAAGCUAAAUACCGGCCAGAGACCGAUAGCGCACAAGUAGAGUGAUCGAAAGAUGAAAAGCACCUUGAAAAGGGGGUUAAACAGUACGUGAAAUUGUUGAAAGGGAAGCGCUCGUGACCAGACUUGGGGCGGGCGGAUCAGCCGGCGUUCUCGCCGGCGCACUCCGCCCGUCCCAGGCCAGCAUCAGUUCGCGCCGGGGGACAAAGGCGGCGGGAACGUGGCUCCCCAGGGAGUGUUAUAGCCCGCCGCGCCAUGCCCCGGGGGCGGACUGAGGGCCGCGCAUCACUGCAAGGAUGCUGGCGUAAUGGUCACCAGCGACCCGUCUUGAAACACGGGCCAAGGAGUCGUCCUCGUAUGCGAGUGUUCGGGUGUCAAACCCCUACGCGGAAUGAAAGUGAACGUGGGUGAGAGCUUCGGCGCAUCAUCGACCGAUCCUGAUGUUCUCGGAUGGAUUUGAGUAGGAGCAUACGGGGCCGGACCCGAAAGAAGGUGAACUAUGCCUGUGUAGGGUGAAGCCAGAGGAAACUCUGGUGGAGGCUCGCAGCGGUUCUGACGUGCAAAUCGAUCGUCAAACAUGGGCAUGGGGACGAAAGACU